GCGGAAGUAGCUCAGCGGUAGAGCAUCGCCUUGCCAAGGCGAGGGUCGCGGGUUCAAGUCCCGUCUUCCGCUCCA
rnacentral:tRNA from 3 species